UGGGGAAUAUUGCACAAUGGGGGAAACCCUGAUGCAGCGACCCCGCGUGGAGGAAGAAGGUCUUCGGAUUGUAAACUCCUGUUGUUGAGGAAGAUAAUGACGGUACUCAACAAGGAAGUGACGGCUAACUACGUGCCAGCAGCCGCGGUAAAACGUAGGUCACAAGCGUUGUCCGGAAUUACUGGGUGUAAAGGGAGCGCAGGCGGACCGGCAAGUUGGAAGUGAAAUCCAUGGGCUCAACCCGUGAAUUGCUUUCAAAACUGCUGGCCUUGAGUAGUGCAGAGGUAGGUGGAAUUCCCGGUGUAGCGGUGGAAUGCGUAGAUAUCGGGAGGAACACCAGUGGCGAAGGCGACCUACUGGGCACCAACUGACGCUGAGGCUCGAAAGCAUGGGUAGCAAACAGGAUUAGAUACCCUGGUAGUCCAUGCCGUAAACGAUGAUUACUAGGUGUUGGAGGAUUGACCCCUUCAGUGCCGCAGUUAACACAAUAAGUAAUCCACCUGGGGAGUACGACCGCAAGGUUGAAACUCAAAGGAAUUGACGGGGGCCCGCACAAGCAGUGGAGUAUGUGGUUUAAUUCGAAGCAACGCGAAGAACCUUACCAGGUCUUGACAUCCGAUGCAUAGUGCAGAGAUGCAUGAAGUCCUUCGGGACAUCGAGACAGGUGGUGCAUGGUUGUCGUCAGCUCGUGUCGUGAGAUGUUGGGUUAAGUCCCGCAACGAGCGCAACCCUUAUUGCCAGUUACUACGCAAGAGGACUCUGGCGAGACUGCCGUUGACAAAACGGAGGAAGGUGGGGAUGACGUCAAAUCAUCAUGCCCUUUAUGACCUGGGCUACACACGUACUACAAUGGCGUUUAACAAAGAGAAGCAAGACCGCGAGGUGGAGCAAAACUCAGAAACAACGUCUCAGUUCAGAUUGCAGGCUGCAACUCGCCUGCAUGAAGUCGGAAUUGCUAGUAAUCGCGGAUCAGCAUGCCGCGGUGAAUACGUUCCC
rnacentral:rRNA from 1 species